GCUGUAGCUCAGUGGUAGAGUAUCUCCUUGGCAUGCAGAAGGUCUCAGGUUCAAUCCCAGGCAUCUCCA
rnacentral:tRNA from 1 species